UACGUAGGGCGCGAGCGUGUCCGGAUUUAUUGGGCGUAAAGAGCUCGUAGGCGGCUUGUCGCGUCGACUGUGAAAACCCGCGGCUCAACUGCGGGCCUGCAGUCGAUACGGGCAGGCUAGAGUUCGGUAGGGGAGACUGGAAUUCCUGGUGUAGCGGUGAAAUGCGCAGAUAUCAGGAGGAACACCGGGUGGCGAAGGCGGGUCUCUGGGCCGAUACUGACGUGAGGAGCGAAAAGCGUGGGGGAGCGAAACAGGG
rnacentral:rRNA from 1 species